UGAAUCUCGAAUUUUUUUAUUGAAACUAAUUCUGGGUUCUGUAUUUUCUCUUCACCCGUAUCAGAUGGGUUUUGUAUUUUCUGGAGCAUAAUAGGGUAAUGUUCUGAUUUCUGUGAUUUCAGGAGUCUAUGCAAAGGAGUAUCUGGAUUGUUCUUUUGCCUCUAUUCCUGGUUUUGUUGCUUGGUGUUAGUUUGGUGUCCUAUUGUUAUUCUGAUAUUGGGAACAGUGAGCGAUCAAAAUCUACAAAUUUUCUGGACUCAGUGAUGGCAUCUACGAGCACAACGAAACUGGUUAAAAGAUUGUUGGAAGGAGUAUGUAAAUCUAAUCAAUUUGAUCAAGUUAAUUCAAAGAGAUGGAAAAGAAUAUGAAGCGAACUAUUGCACGAUACAACAAGGGUGAUGAGUCUUCAGAGACCGCUCUGGUAGAAUCAAGGGCCGAGAAAAAUUUCAAGACAUUUGACAAAAGCAUCAUUAUUAGGUGCAGGAGUGUCUGCAGUAGCAGCUCUUGCCAUGAUGUUUUUACUUUGGAAUGCCCUUGGAUUUUCAGUUAAUGCCAUGGAGAUUGGGGAAUAAGCUUGAGCUUGAGCUUCAUUGAAUUGCUAUGUCCUGCUCAUGAUGAGCUCAAGUUAGAACAUCAUUCACCAUAUGUAUGAGUUCAAAAUCCCUCUGCGAAUUUCAGCAUUGGUGGAUAACACACAGUCACAUCAUGAAAAGGAAAUUAAGAUAUACUAAGGGAUCCAUUCACUUCCCAAUUGUCAUGACUGAGACACAAAGAGGAAGACUUGAGAAAUACAAAGGCCACUUGAAUAGAUGAUGAUACUUGGAGCAUCUGUCAAAGAUCUGAAUGCCUUUGCUUGGCUAUCAAGAAGCUUGAAAAUACCUUUGCUCUCCCUUUAUAUAUGCUCUCUCCGGUUAGACAGUAAAAAUUGAGAGAGAACCACAAUUUGCUCUUAAAGGCUUGAAGAGUUGUUGAUCUAUUAUUUGUGCUAAUGAACUAAAAUGCUGUUACUUGAAUCAUAGAAAGUGAGGCCAAUGUUCCUCUCUUCACUUCUGUAAACAAUUCACUCACAAUUCUAACUCCCGCAGCAAUGCGCGGGCAAACAUUUCUA